GUUCUACCUUGACGAAUUGUAGUUUAAAGAAGUGUUUUCUGUUAGAGGAGUAGCAAGAGUUCCUUGGAAUGGGACAUCAUAGAGGGUGAGAAUCCCGUAUUUGGUUAUUCUUUCUAGCUUUGUGAUACACUUUCAAAGAGUCGGAUUGUUUGGGAAUGCAGUCCAAAAUGGGUGGUAAAUUUCAUCUAAAGCUAAAUAUUGGCGAGAGAUCGAUAGCGAACAAGUACCGUGAGGGAAAGAUGAAAAGAACUUUGAAAAGAGAGUUAAACAGUACGUGAAAUUGUCAAAAGGGAAGCGUUUGACACCAGUGUUGUUUUUCCGAAAAUCAAUUAAGAAGGGCUUGAUUUUGUGUUGUAUUGACCUUAUCAGCUUUCUUCACUCUUUUUCGAGUCUUUCUU
rnacentral:rRNA from 1 species